rnacentral:rRNA from 1 species
UACAGAGGUCUCAAGCGUUGUUCGGAUUCAUUGGGCGUAAAGGGUGCGUAGGCGGCGCGGUAAGUCGGGUGUGAAAUCUCGGAGCUUAACUCCGAAACUGCAUUCGAUACUGCCGUGCUUGAGGACUGGAGAGGAGACUGGAAUUUACGGUGUAGCGGUGAAAUGCGUAGAUAUCAGGAGGAACACCAAUUGCGAAGGCAGCUCGCUGGGACGUAACUGACGCUGAGACGUGAAAGCGUGGGGAGCAAACAGG